rnacentral:rRNA from 1 species
UAACAAGGUCUCCGUUGGUGAACCAGCGGAGGGAUCAUUAUAGAGUGUAAAAACUCUCCAACCCCCUGGUGAACUAUACCUAUAUUCUGCCUCGGCAGGUCUUUUAGGCCUGCCAAAAGGAACCUAAACGCUUUUUUUAUAAGUCUUCUGAGUUUUAUACCAAAAAAAAUCAAAACUUUUAGCAACGGAUCUCUUGGCUCUAGCAUCGAUGAAGAACGCAGCAAAAUGCGAUAAGUAAUGCGAAUUGCAGAUUUUAGUGAGUCAUCGAGUUUUUGAACGCAUAUUGCGCCUGCUGGCUAUUCUAGCAGGCAUGCCUGUCCGAACGUCAUUUACGGUACUAGAGGCUUCUAGAGCUUCUCUGUUGGAGGCUGGCCUAGCGGCCACCUCUUAAAUUUAGCGGCGGCAGUUGCUUCUAUUUCCCCUGUGACGUAGAGUUUUACUCGCAGCGUGGAGGAUUUUUGCAGCCCGCCUAAAAAUUCCAUCUAGUUGACUUCGGAUCAGGUAGGAAUACCCGCUGAACUUAAGCAUAUCAAUAGGCGGGAGGAA